GGAGGGUACAGCUCAAGUGGUAGAGUGCAUGCUUGGCAUGCACAAGGUCCUGGGUUCAAUCUCCAGAACCUCCU
rfam:Camelus ferus unplaced genomic scaffold scaffold621, whole genome shotgun sequence.